CCGGUUAACCCAGGGCGUUAACCGGUUAACACUGUUGCGUUUUGCCAGAAAAUGUAUUUUUGUCCUGCGUUAACCGGUUAACCCAGGGCGUUAACCGGUUAACACUGUUGGAAAUUGGAAAAUUUGAUAUUUUAAUGUUGUGAACAUAAUUGGUGAUUGGCAUAUUCUCGUUGAUUUCGAUGAGUAAUUUUGUUGAGUUUAUGUUAUGAAGUGGUGAUAUAAAUAUGUUGAUAAGUUGUGUUAAGUUGUUG
rnacentral:lncRNA from 1 species